rnacentral:rRNA from 1 species
UAUGUGAUCGUCUCUCGCAUAUCAAUAAGCGGAGGAAAAGAAACUAACAAGGAUUCCCCUAGUAACGGCGAGUGAAGCGGGAAGAGCUCAAAUUUGAAAUCUAGUAGCCUUCGGCUGCUCGAGUUGUAAUCUAGAGAAGUGUUUUCCGUGCCGGCCCAUGUACAAGUCCCUUGGAACAGGGCGUCAUAGAGGGUGAGAAUCCCGUCCUUGACAUGGACCCCAGGUGCUCUGUGAUACACUUUCAACGAGUCGGAUUGUUUGGGAAUGCAGUCCAAAAUGGGUGGUAAAUUUCAUCUAAAGCUAAAUAUUGGCGAGAGACCGAUAGCGAACAAGUACCGUGAGGGAAAGAUGAAAAGAACUUUGAAAAGAGAGUUAAACAGUACGUGAAAUUGUCAAAAGGGAAGCGUUUGACACCAGUGUUGUUUUUCUGAAAAUCAAUUAAAGAACUGUUUAUGCUAAGCUGUUUAGACUUUAUCAGCUAAUCUGUUUAGUUUUGAGCUUUUCUUUAAUGCACUUUUCAGUUAACAAGUCAACAUCAAUUUCUUUUGCUGUAAAAAAGCUUGAGGAAGGUGGCUUGAGAUUCGUCUUAAGUGUUUAUAGCCUCUUGCCUAUGCAGUCGGAGAGAUUGAGGUCUGCAGCGUAGAUCCUUCGGGGCUAAAUGCAUUUGUGCUAAGUUAUAACAUUUUAUAGACAACUUGUUGACUAUGAUUUGUCUUGUAGCUUACUCGCUUAUGUUAUUUUACCUACGCUUAGGAUGUUGAAGAUAUGCGCGACACG